UACGUAGGUGGCAAGCGUUGUCCGGAAUUAUUGGGCGUAAAGCGCGCGCAGGCGGUCCUUUAAGUCUGAUGUGAAAGCCCACGGCUCAACCGUGGAGGGUCAUUGGAAACUGGGGGACUUGAGUGCAGGAGAGAAGAGUGGAAUUCCACGUGUAGCGGUGAAAUGCGUAGAGAUGUGGAGGAACACCAGUGGCGAAGGCGGCGCUCUGGGCCGGAACUGACGCUGAGGAGCGAAAGCGUGGGUAGCAAACAGG
rnacentral:rRNA from 1 species